rnacentral:rRNA from 1 species
AGAGUUUGAUCCUGGCUCAGAUUGAACGCUAGCGGGAUGCUUUACACAUGCAAGUCGAACGGCAGCACGAGCUAAGCUUGCUUAGCUUGGUGGCGAGUGGCGAACGGGUGAGUAAUGUAUCGGAACGUGCCCAGUAGCGGGGGAUAACUACGCGAAAGCGUGGCUAAUACCGCAUACGCCCUACGGGGGAAAGGGGGGGAUCGCAAGACCUCUCACUAUUGGAGCGGCCGAUAUCGGAUUAGCUAGUUGGUGGGGUAAAGGCCUACCAAGGCUGCGAUCCGUAGCUGGUUUGAGAGGACGACCAGCCACACUGGGGCUGAGACACGGCCCAGACUCCUACGGGAGGCAGCAGUGGGGAAUUUUGGACAAUGGGGGCAACCCUGAUCCAGCCAUCCCGCGUGUGCGAUGAAGGCCUUCGGGUUGUAAAGCACUUUUGGCAGGGAAGAAAAGGCGCCGGUUAAUACCUGGUGCCGCUGACGGUACCUGCAGAAUAAGCACCGGCUAACUACGUGCCAGCAGCCGCGGUAAUACGUAGGGUGCAAGCGUUAAUCGGAAUUACUGGGCGUAAAGCGUGCGUCGGCGGUUUGGCAAGAAAGGUGUGAAAUCCCAGGGCUUAACCUUGGAACUGCACUUUUAACUGCCAGGCUAGAGUAUGUCAGAGGGGGGUAGAAUUCCACGUGUAGCAGUGAAAUGCGUAGAGAUGUGGAGGAAUACCGAUGGCGAAGGCAGCCCCCUGGGAUAAUACUGACGCUCAGGCACGAAAGCGUGGGGAGCAAACAGGAUUAGAUACCCUGGUAGUCCACGCCCUAAACGAUGUCAACUAGCUGUUGGGGCCUUCGGGCCUUAGUAGCGCAGCUAACGCGUGAAGUUGACCGCCUGGGGAGUACGGUCGCAAGAUU